GCAUGUGGUUUUACUUCGAAGCUAACGCGCAGGACCUUACCAGCCUUGGACAUCCCGGUCGCGGAUUAGAGAGAUCUUUUCCUUCAGUUCGGCUGGACCGGUGACAGGUGCUGCAUGGCUGUCGUCAGCUCGUGUCGUGAGACUGUUGGGUGUAAGUCCCGCGAACGAGCGCGACCCUCGUCCUUAGUUGCCAUCAUUCAGUUGGGCACUUUAAGUGAAACUGCCGGUGAUAAGCCGGAGGACAGGUGGGGAUGACGUCAAGUCCUCAUGGCCCUUACAGGCUGGGCUACACACGUGCUACAAUGGCGGUGACAGUGAGCAGCUACACUCGCGAGAGUACGCUAAUCUCCUAAAAGCCGUCUCUAGUUCGGAUUGUUCUCUGCAACUCGAGAGCAUGAAGGCGAAAUCGCCUAAGUU
rnacentral:rRNA from 1 species